rnacentral:rRNA from 1 species
CCUACGGUGGGCUGCAGUGGGGAAUAUUGCACAAUGGAGGGAACUCUGAUGCAGCGACGCCGCGUGAGUGAAGAAGUAAUUCGUUAUGUAAAGCUCUAUCAGCAGGGAAGAAAGUGACGGUACCUGAAAAAGAAGCUCCGGCUAAAUACGUGCCAGCAGCCGCGGUAAUACGUAUGGAGCAAGCGUUGUCCGGAAUGACUGGGUGUAAAGGGUGUGUAGGUGGCUUAUUAAGUUAGAGGUGAAAGCCCGAAGCUCAACUUCGGAACUGCCUUUAAAACUGGUUGGCUUGAGUGUGGGAGAGGUUAGUGGAACUCCUAGUGUAGCGGUGGAAUGCGUAGAUAUUAGGAAGAACAUCAGAGGCGAAGGCGACUAACUGGAACAUUACUGACACUGAAACACGAAAGCGUGGGGAGCAAACAGGAUUAGAUACCCGGGUAGUC